rnacentral:rRNA from 1 species
AACGAACGCUGGCGGCAUGCCUAACACAUGCAAGUCGAACGAGACCUUCGGGUCUAGUGGCGCACGGGUGCGUAACGCGUGGGAACCUGCCCUUAGGUUCGGACUAACUCCCCGAAAGGGGUGCUAAUACCGGAUAAUGUCUUCGGACCAAAGAUUUAUCGCCUUUGGGUGUGCCCGCGUUGGAUUAUCUAGUUGGUAGGGUAAAAGCCUACCAAGGCGACGAUCCAUAGCUGGUCUGAGAGGAUGAUCAGCCACACUGGGACUGAGACACGGCCCAGAAUCCUACGGGAGGCAGCAGUGGGGAAUAUUGGAAAAUGGGCGAAAGCCUGAACCAGCAAUGACGCGUGAGUGAUGAAGGCCUUAGGGUUGUAAAGCUCUUUUACCCGGGAUGAUAAUGACAGUACCGGGAGAAUAAGCGCCGGCUAACUCCGUG